rnacentral:rRNA from 1 species
UACGUAGGGUGCGAGCGUUGUCCGGAAUUACUGGGCGUAAAGAGCUCGUAGGUGGUUUGUCGCGUUGUUCGUGAAAUUCCCUGGCUUAACUGGGGGUGUGCGGGCGAUACGGGCAGACUGGAGUACUGCAGGGGAGACUGGAAUUCCUGGUGUAGCGGUGGAAUGCGCAGAUAUCAGGAGGAACACCGGUGGCGAAGGCGGGUCUCUGGGCCGAUACUGACGCUGAGGAGCGAAAGCGUGGGGAGCGAACAGG